CUCUCCCUCCCUCCCGCAGCCGCCUCCCUCCCUCCCUCCCGCGCGCCUCCUAUCCUCCCACCCGCAUCGCCGCCGCCGCCACCCACCUCCUCGAACCGCGAUUGAACCCUAGCCGUCACUCCCCGCCAGCCAUCCUCCCUGCCCGUCCGCCGCCGCCACGCCAUCACCGCCGCCACGCCAUCACCGCCACCUACCCGACGCGUUGUGGAGGAAGCGACCAGAGAGGGAGGGCGUCGCCGGCGUGUGCGCGUGCUUCCACGGGUUCUCGUCGCGGUCGCCGGAGCCGUGGUCAACCGCGUCGGGGAGGAUGGGCGCCACAUCGCGGUCGCCGAAUCCGUUGGCUGCGAGUCCGGGCGCGUCGGAUCCGGUGGCUGUUAGGAGGCAGCGCUCGGAGGAGGUCGGACGCAAGAGGCCAGCGCGCGGAAGAGGCCGGGGCAUGGAGGCAGCGCACGGAGCUCAGUUGCGGCGACGAGCUGUGCUACUGCCUUGGCUACAACCUCGUAGGUUCAUCUCCAAUGGCAAAUCCAUAGCUUUGUGCUAAAGGUUCAGGCAGAUGGAAGCAUUAGCAAUUCCCUCGACGUAGCUCCCGAUUGGGCCUGAACCACAACCAGCUAAGGGGACAUUUCUACAGAUCGUUUCUAUCUGAUUUCAUACAUUUUCAGUUUUUGGAACACCCAGAAUGGAUAUAUUGAGUGUCCCUCUUGCUGCUAAACACAAUACAGUUGAGAUUAUGUCCCUACUGAGCUAAGGGGACAUUUCUACAGAUCGUUUCUAUCUGAUUUCAUACAUUUUCAGUUUUUGGAACACCCAGAAUGGAUAUAUUGAGUGUCCCUCUUGCUGCUAAACACAAUACAGUUGAGAUUAUGUCCCUACUGAGAUUCUUAAAGAACAUGGUACACCGGAAUAGCUUCAGAUCAAAGUAACUCAGCCGAUGGACCUUCUUAUCAUGAAACACCAUGGCAAUCGAGCUGUCGUCCGUCCAUCCCUCCCUCCUCGCGCCCGGAACCCUAGCUCGCGGCCAUGGCGACCGUGCAUGUCGCAGGCAGUGCAGGAUCUUCAGCACUACAAGUUGUGAUUUCUAUCACAUGUUUGUUUGAUACACAAGGUCCUUCCAUCAUGUACCCACCCACACAUGCAAAUGAAUUCGUUUGGUGGUUAUAUCUUGAGUGGCAUCUGAAUACACAAGCGUGACUAAUAGUAAGCGUGAGUGCUAGAGAAGUCCCCAUUUAGCAUGAUGGAGAGCAGGAUUGUCCCCAUUUAUAUUUGGUUCACACAGUUGUAGCUUCCUUUUCCUACGGGUUGCAAUGAUAUGGCUUGGUCGCGGCUUAGGUCAGACAGAGAUGAUCCAGUACUAAUUAAGCAUCAUUGAUAAAUAACAAGAGGGGCAUGUGAGGAGCUCUGUCUUGCUUGUAAUAGCUAAACUAUUGUUACCUACUUAAUGAGAUCCAUCGUCGAUCUGCUCUAUUGACUAAAUGUACCCUGCUUGCUUUGCUUUGACAAAAUGGCCUGUACUGAACUUGGUCAUCCUUGGCUACCCAGAUGAGAUGUCUAUAAGGAGAACUAUCCAGUCCAUAUCUGAAUCUAGGAACUAUGAACUAUUAUAUCGAUGAUGUCGAGUUAUGUCUACAUAGCCUGCCUUGCUAUGCUUCUAUAAGCUCAAUGUAUCCUUUGUACUGUUCUUCUUCUUUGACUUAUCUGCUCAUUUUUAGAUAAAUUUUCAUGUGAGUACCAAUGUUAUAAACCAGAAUUCUCUUUCUAAGGAUGCUUAUGUCAGAACGGUUCAUCAUAUUUGUCAAUAUAUUCUAUACAAUAUGUUAUGCAGUCUAAAACCCAUCUUAAAUUUCAUAUCUUAUGAAUAGAUAAUAAUUUGCAGUAUGACACUGUACUGAACUAAUAUCAUUGCUUUUUUUCAUAUUUACAAUGCUCCUAUGACUGUUCUGUAAAAAAAAUGCUCCUAUGACUGUUCUGUAAAAAAAAUGCUCCUAUGACUGUAUUACCCAAUUGGAUAUAAUUGUACCCGGCAGCGGCGCUGCCGGGUGCGGCAAGCCGCAUUUCCUACUGUUAAAUUGAUUGACUGGUGUGCAUAUGAUUUCAAGGUAUCACUUUCAAGAAUAUUGUAGGAAGGGUGGACUAUGAAGGGAAACACUGGUGUUCUAAGAUAGAUGUUCUGUGUUUGAGAUCUUGCCUUGGUAGCUGGAUGCCUUGGUGCAAGACAUUCAAGUUUAGAUUGAUCCCCUGUACCCAUGAGUUCACUUCUCAUGUAGAGCUAAUAGUCCUGUUAUUUUUCUAUACACUAUGGCAGAGUAGAGAUAUAUUGUGUAUGCCAACAUGUAUGUAAGAGUAAUAGUAAUAUGAUACUUCUGAUUGUAG